rnacentral:rRNA from 1 species
UACGUAGGGUGCGAGCGUUAAUCGGAAUUACUGGGCGUAAAGCGUGCGCAGGCGGCUUGAAAAGUCUGAUGUGAAAUCCCCGGGCUCAACCUGGGAACUGCGUUGGAAACUCUCAAGCUAGAGUAUGUCAGAGGGGGGUAGAAUUCCACGUGUAGCAGUGAAAUGCGUAGAGAUGUGGAGGAAUACCGAUGGCGAAGGCAGCCCCCUGGGAUAAUACUGACGCUCAUGCACGAAAGCGUGGGGAG